rnacentral:rRNA from 1 species
AGCCCACUCUAGCCCAACUACUACAAACUAAGACGUUAAUUAAAAACUCACUUAACCUUUAAACUAAAACAUUAUUUAAACUUAGUAUAGGCGAUAGAAAAGAUACUUUGGCGCGAUAGAGACUUCGUACCGUAAGGGAAAGUUGAAAUAGCAGUGAAAAACAAAGCAACAAGCAGCAAAGAUAAACCCUUGUACCUUUUGCAUCAUGAUUUAGCAAGAACAACCAAGCAAAAUGAAUUUAAGUUUGCCACCCCGAAACCCGAGCGAGCUACUUACGAGCAGCUAUUUAUGAGCGAACCCGUCUCUGUUGCAAAAGAGUGGGAUGACUUGUUAGUAGAGGUGAAAAGCCAACCGAGCCGGGUGAUAGCUGGUUGCCUGUGAAAUGAAUCUAAGUUCUCUCUUGACCCUACCUGCCCAGGACAUAAACUUCAACCCUAAUGAAAUGGAUCAAGAGUAAUUUAAAGGGGGUACAGCUCCUUUAAAAAAGAAAACAAUCUCCUCUAGCGGAUAACUGCCCUCUUUCUUCAAACUGUGGGCCUUCAAGCAGCCACCAAUAAAGAGUGCGUCACAGCUCUACAACCAAAAAUCCAACAAUAAAAUGACUCCCUUCUCACUAACAGGCUAACCUAUACUAAUAGGAGAAUCAAUGCUAAAAUGAGUAACUAGGGGACCCCCUCUUAAGCGUAAACUUACAUUUACUCACAUUAUUAACAGAUUACAAAUCAAUACUCCAAUUCCAACAAGACUAAAAUAUUAAACUUAACUCUGUUAACCCAACCCAGGUGCGCUUAUUAGAAAGAUUUAAAUCUGUAAAAGGAACUAGGCAAACUCAAGGCCCGACUGUUUACCAAAAACAUAGCCUUCAGCCAACCAAGUAUUGAAGGUGAUGCCUGCCCAGUGACACAAUGUUUAACGGCCGCGGUAUCCUAACCGUGCGAAGGUAGCGCAAUCAAUUGUCCCAUAAAUCGAGACUUGUAUGAAUGGCUAAACGAGGUCUUAACUGUCUCUUACAGAUAAUCAGUGAAAUUGAUCUCCCUGUUCAAAAGCAGGGAUACACCCAUAAGACGAGAAGACCCUGUGGAACUUAAAAAUCAACAGCCACUGCUUACAAAUCAUAACCUAGCAGGCUCACUACCUUAUUAAUGCUGGCUGAUAUUUUUCGGUUGGGGCGACCUUGGAGAAAAACAAAUCCUCCAAAAAUAAGACCACACUUCUUAACCAAGAGCAACCCCUCAACGUACUAAUAGUAACCAGACCCAAUAUAAUUGAUAAAUGGACCAAGCUACCCCAGGGAUAACAGCGCAAUCUCCUCUAAGAGCCCACAUCGACGAGGAGGUUUACGACCUCGAUGUUGGAUCAGGACAUCCUAAUGGUGCAGCCGCUAUUAAGGGUUCGUUUGUUCAACGAUUAACAGUCCUACGUGAUCUGAGUUCAGACCGGAGCAAUCCAGGUCGGUUUCUAUCUAUGACGAACUCUCCCUAGUACGAAAGGACCGGGAAAGUGGGGCCAAUACUACAAGCAUGCCCCCUCUUUAAGUAAUGAACCCAACUAAAUUACUAAAAGAUCCUUACCACUUAAUCCUAGAAAAGGAUUAGGCUAGCGUG